AACGCGAAGAACCUUACCAGCCCUUGACAUCCCGGUCGCGGACACCAGAGAUGGAGUCUUUCAGUUCGGCUGGACCGGAGACAGGUGCUGCAUGGCUGUCGUCAGCUCGUGUCGUGAGAUGUUGGGUUAAGUCCCGCAACGAGCGCAACCCUCGCCCUUAGUUGCCAUCAUUUAGUUGGGCACUCUAAGGGGACUGCCGGUGAUAAGCCGCGAGGAAGGUGGGGAUGACGUCAAGUCCUCAUGGCCCUUACGGGCUGGGCUACACACGUGCUACAAUGGCGGUGACAGUGGGAUGCAAUGGAGUAAUCCUGCGCAAAUCUCAAAAAGCCGUCUCAGUUCGGAUUGUGCUCUGCAACUCGAGCACAUGAAGUUGGAAUCGCUAGUAAUCGCAGAUCAGCACGCUGCGGUGAAUACGUUCCCGGGCCUUGUA
rnacentral:rRNA from 1 species